UACGUAGGGAGCAAGCGUUGUUCGGAUUCACUGGGCGUAAAGAGAGCGUAGGCGGGAAAGUAAGUUAGAAGUGAAAUGUAUCGGCUCAACCGGUAACCUGCUUUUAAUACUGCUUUUCUUGAGUAUGGGAGAGGAUGAUGGAAUUCCAGGUGUAGCGGUGGAAUGCGUAGAUAUCUGGAAGAACACCAGUUGCGAAGGCGGUCAUCUGGCCCAAUACUGACGCUGAGGCUCGAAAGCUAGGGGAGCGAACAGG
rnacentral:rRNA from 1 species